rnacentral:rRNA from 1 species
GAUGAACGCUGGCGGCGUGCCUAAUACAUGCAAGUCGAGCGAACGGACGAGAAGCUUGCUUCUCUGACGUUAGCGGCGGACGGGUGAGUAACACGUGUAUAACCUACCUAUAUGACUGGUAUAACUUCGGGACACCGGAGCUAAUCCCGUAUGAUAUUUUGAACCGCAUGGUUCAAAAGUGAAAGACGGUCUUGCUGUCACUUAUAGAUGGAUCUGCGCUGCAUUAGCUAGUUGGUAAGGUAACGGCUUAUCAAGGCAACGAUGCAUAGCCGACCUGAGAGAGUGAUAGGCCACACUGGAACUGAGACGCGGUCCAGACUCCUACGGGAGGCAGCAGUAGGGAAUCUGCCGCAAUGGGCGAAAGCCUGGCGGAGCGACGCCGCGUGAGUGAUGAAGGUCUUCGGAUCGUAAAACUCUGUUAUUAGGGGAGAACAUAUGUGUAAGUAACUGUGCACAUCUUGACGGUACCUAAUCAGAAAGCCACGGCUAACUACGUG